rnacentral:rRNA from 1 species
AGUGAACGCUGGCGGUAGGCCUAACACAUGCAAGUCGAACGGCAGCACAGUAAGAGCUUGCUCUUACGGGUGGCGAGUGGCGGACGGGUGAGGAAUACAUCGUAAUCUACUUUUUCGUGGGGGAUAACGUAGGGAAACUUACGCUAAUACCGCAUACGACCUACGGGUGAAAGCAAGGGAUCUUCGGACCUUGCGCGAUUGAAUGAGCCGAUGUCGGAUUAGCUAGUUGGCGGGGUAAAGGCCCACCAAGGCGACGAUCCGUAGCUGGUCUGAGAGGAUGAUCAGCCACACGGGAACUGAGACACGGUCCAGACUCCUACGGGAGGCAGCAGUGGGGAAUAUUGGACAAUGGGCGCAAGCCUGAUCCAGCCAUACCGCGUGGGUGAAGAAGGCCUUCGGGUUGUAAAGCCCUUUUGUUGGGAAAGAAAAGCAGCAGGUUAAUACCCCGCUGUUCUGACGGUACCCAAAGAAUAAGCACCGGCUAACUUCGUG